AGGCAGAAGCAUAAAGAUCCGCAAAUUCUUACCAACGGCAAAAUUAGACCCAGCACAAACCUCCCAUUUGGGUAUAGAAACAACUCAAAAAAGUUGAUAGUGCUGAAGACAAGGCUUUGUAUGAGUGCAUCCAUUGCGGUUUCCGCAGCUCAAUGCAGAAAAUCAUCCCACAUCAUCUAACGCUCCACUCAGCCGAGGAGUUCUUAAUAAAGUGCCUCGGGCAGAUUAAGUACAAGUGUGCUGUUUGUCAUAUGGACUUCCUUUCAACUGAUAACUUGAAGCGCCACUUUUUGCAGGCUCAUCCAGGCAAAGAAGUGCAGUGUCACUGUUUCUCAAGAUCUGACCUUCCAAGUUUUAGCAGGCUUGAAGAUGGAAAGAAGAGCGUAAUUUCUGGCACAUUGUAACAAGCCCGGCAAGUUGAUUUUCUUUGGCUGCCCGGUUUGUCGCUUCUUCUCGGACGAUCCCAAGAAAAUGCUCUUCCACCUGCGGAAAACAUCGAUGUUACUUUUGCAAAGGUUGCAAGAAGAGUUUUCCAGACGUACACGAAGCAAAUUACCAUUGUCAUUACCAGUGCACCAAGUCUCUCAGAGUCAAGAGUGUUAAAAAGUCUCGCUCUCAAGAAGACAAUGGGAAGAAUUGAAGGGAUCCGUGAAAUGUUAUGAAAGGUCAAUAACAGCAUAUCAUCUCUCCAAAAAGUACCUACCUGUUGAAAUGCCCCCCAAAAAAAAAGAAACAUCGAUCUAAAGGAACCCUCAAAAGUCAGAUGUGAAGCGAAUGAAGCUCUCGCACUGUGCUAAGAAAUCCACGGCCAGCAUCGGCAUGCCUGCAGCAUCAACAAGCACCUCAGGCGUGAGGGUAUCUCAGACCGCACGAAAUCAACAGGUCCUCGAACCACCUACGAUAAUUCAAUGGUCCCUUUCUCUUUCUACGGCAGGAAGCGGACCUUGUGGAUUUCAAUCAGGUCAUAUAUCUUUCCAAUUUUGGGGCUCUCAAAUGCUAAACCUGUAGUGUACUGUGCGAUUUAUUAAAAAAAAUUUUUAAACCCAUUGUAAGAGUUCUAGACUACAGGAAAAUAAGGUAAAGAGAAAGAAAAACCCUGAGCUUGUUGAAAUUAAUGACUGACAAAAACAAAUGCAGUCUUGUGAGAGAACUCAAUCACUUUGACCAGGUAAUAGUAUCAAAUAGAUUACCGAUGUUUUUGAAGUAUCUCCUGCUUUUGUUGUUCUCACUAACUUUUUUUUGAGCUUCCCAAAAAUUAAGAUGAGUCUGUCAAAAAAAAAGGAAGUUUUGUUGACUCCACUGUCCAUUUUUCCUGAAUUUUUUUGAAUCGUACUUCUUCCAAAAGAAAAGAUAAGAAAUUUUGUCGGAAACUAUUUUAUACUAAAUCGUGUAAUUUUUGUAAUGUUCUUUGUCAUUUUUGUAAGAUAUAUCAUUACCACCACAGCUAUUGAUACAAACAUUGUUUCCUUUCAAUCAAAGUUGAACAAGAUGAUAUUUUUGGGUUUUUAAGUUGAGUUUUUUUGUUGUCAAAAAAUAAGAAAAACUUUCUUUAUCCACUGUCAAUGACCCAGAAAUAUUUUUUAUUUCAAAUUUAACUUUACCUGCUGCUAUCAUCCUUCAUUGUAAAUUGAAUGUGCCAGUGAAGUUUUUAUUUUAGUUAAUUCAAGUUCUUCUCCUUCCCAUAAAAUUACUCAUCAACAAGACUUUGAAAUCUGAAAUUCAAUAUUUUUUUCUUAAAACUCACGUGAAACGUUUCUUUUCUAUCUUAACUUUAUUAUUACUUCUGUUAUUUAUUUUUUUAUGUGGUAUUAAUUUUUUUAAAAAAGGUUUUUUAAAUUCUUUAUGUUAUGUAGCAGCAGAU
rnacentral:lncRNA from 1 species